rnacentral:misc_RNA from 1 species
AGCAGCCGCGGUAAUUCCAGCUCCAAUAGCGUAUAUUAAAGUUGUUGCAGUUAAAAAGCUCGUAGUUGAAUUUCGGGAUCAAUAUAUCGGUCGUGCCUUCGGUACGUACUGGUAUCAUUGGUUUCUCCUUUCUGACGAACCAUGAUGUCAUUAAUUUGGUGUUAUGGGGAGUUAGGACUGUUACUUUGAAAAAAUUAGAGUGUUUAAAGCAGGCUUUAGCUUGAAUACAUUAGCAUGGAAUAAUGAAAUAGGACGUUCGAACCUAUUUUGUUGGUUUCUAGGAUCAACGUAAUGAUUAAUAGGGAUAGUUGGGGGCAUUAGUAUUCAAUUGUCAGAGGUGAAAUUCUUGGAUUAUUGAAGACUAACUACUGCGAAAGCAUUUGCCAAGGAUGUUUUCAUUAAUCAAGAACGAAAGUUAGGGGGAUCAAGACGAUCAGAUACCGUCGUAGUCUUAACCAUAAACUAUGCCGACUAGGGAUCGGAUGAUGUUAAUUUUUUAAUGACUCAUUCGGCGCCUUAC